CAGUCGCCACGGUAAUACGUAGGUGGCAAGCGUUGUUCGGAUUUACUGGGCGUAAAGGGCGCGUAGGCGGACUGAUAAGUCAGGGGUGAAAUCCCAAGGCUCAACCUUGGAACUGCCUUUGAUACUGUUUGUCUUGAGUUCGAGAGAGGUAAGUGGAACUGCGAGUGUAGAGGUGAAAUUCGUAGAUAUUCGCAAGAACACCAGUGGCGAAGGCGGCUUACUGGCUCGAAACUGACGCUGAGGCGCGAAAGCGUGGGGAGCAAACAGGAUUAGAUACCCGCGUAGUCCCUGUCUCUUAUAC
rnacentral:rRNA from 1 species